rnacentral:rRNA from 1 species
UGGGGAAUAUUGGACAAUGGGCGCAAGCCUGAUCCAGCCAUGCCGCGUGAGUGAUGAAGGCCUUAGGGUUGUAAAGCUCUUUCGCCGGUGAAGAUAAUGACGGUAACCGGAGAAGAAGCCCCGGCUAACUUCGUGCCAGCAGCCGCGGUAAUACGAAGGGGGCUAGCGUUGCUCGGAAUCACUGGGCGUAAAGCGCACGUAGGCGGAUCGUUAAGUCAGGGGUGAAAUCCUGGGGCUCAACCUCAGAACUGCCCUUGAUACUGGCGAUCUCGAGUUCGGGGGAGGUUGGUGGAACUCCGAGUGUAGAGGUGAAAUUCGUAGAUAUUCGGAAGAACACCAGUGGCGAAGGCGGCCAACUGGCUCGAUACUGACGCUGGGGUGCGAAAGCGUGGGGAGCAAACA